rnacentral:rRNA from 1 species
CGGGCUCCUUUGGCGACACCCCGGGAACUGGGGCUACUGUUCCGAUAGGUAAAGCACCCUGGAAUGGGUUUUCGCUCAAAGGGCGCUUGGGGCAUGCUUCUAAGCGUUGCCUAAGGAUGGGGCCGCGGCCGAUCAGGUUGUUGGUGAGGUAACGGCUCACCAAGCCUUUAACCGGUACGGGCCGUGGGAGCGGUAGCCCGGAGAUGGGCACUGAGACAAGGGCCCAGGCCCUACGGGGCGCAGCAGUCGCGAAAACUUCGCAAUAAGCGAAAGCUUGACGGGGCUAUCCCGAGUGCCAUCUGCUGAGGAUGGCUUUUACCCAGUGUAGAUAGCUGGGGGAAUAAGGAGAGGGCAAGUCUGGUGUCAGCCGCCGCGGUAAUACCAGCUCUCCGAGUUGUGGGGACGAUUAUUGGGCCUAAAGCAUCCGUAGCCGGCUGGGCAAGUCCUCUGUUAAACCCAGCGACUAAUCGUUGGUUUGCGGGGGAUACUGCUUGGCUAGGGGGCGGGAGAGGCCGUCGGUAUUCUCGGGGUAGGGGUGAAAUCCUAUAAUCCCGAGAAGACCACCAGUGGCGAAGGCUGUCGGCUAGAACGCGCCCGACGGUGAGGGAUGAAAGCUGGGGGAGCGAACCGGAUUAGAUACCCGGGUAGUCCCAGCUGUAAACGAUGCAGGCUAGGUGUUAGGGCGGCUACGGGCCGCUCUAGUGCCGCAGGGAAGCUGUUAAGCCUGCCGCCUGGGGAGUACGGUCGCAAGGCUGAAACUUAAAGGAAUUGGCGGGGGAGCAC